CAGCAGUAGCCGCGGGAAUACGAAGGGUGCAAGCGUUACUCGGAAUUACUGGGCGUAAAGCGUGCGUAGGUGGUGGUUUAAGUCCGUUGUGAAAGCCCUGGGCUCAACCUGGGAAUUGCAGUGGAUACUGGAUCACUAGAGUGUGGUAGAGGAUAGUGGAAUUUCCGGUGUAGCAGUGAAAUGCGUAGAGAUCGGAAGGAACAUCUGUGGCGAAGGCGACUAUCUGGGCCAACACUGACACUGAGGCACGAAAGCGUGGGGAGCAAACAGGAUUAGAUACCCCUGUAGUCCCUGUCUCUUAUAC
rnacentral:rRNA from 1 species